rnacentral:rRNA from 1 species
UACGCAGGGUGCGAGCGUUAAUCGGAAUUACUGGGCGUAAAGCGUGCGCAGGCGGUUUUGUAAGCCAGAUGUGAAAUCCCCGGGCUCAACCUGGGAAUGGCAUUUGGGACUGCAUCGCUGGAGUGCGGCAGAGGGGGAUGGAAUUCCGCGUGUAGCAGUGAAAUGCGUAGAUAUGCGGAGGAACACCGAUGGCGAAGGCAAUCCCCUGGGCCUGCACUGACGCUCAUGCACGAAAGCGUGGGGAGCAAACAGG